GAAAAAUCAGCGUCGUAAAAAACACCAACACGCCAAAACCUGCCGAGGGAAAGGAGAAUGUUUUGAAGAAAGUUGGCAAAAGAGUUAAAACGGGAAUGUCCAUCGAUGGAGCUCAUCCACUCAUCCAAGGGCCAUCGAAAAAGCCCAAAAAGGAGUUUUAAUUCAUCGUCUCCUCUACGCUUUCCUUCUCGUAGAAUCAGCUACCACUUCUAGCGUUCCAGUAGAUUUCCGGUUCUAAAUUACUCCUUCCUUCUUAUAAUUAGUGGAGAACUCAUCCAUACAAGUUGAAUUCCAUACUGCCCAUUAGUAAGACUGUUACGUUUCGAACAACUCUUGUACAGUUGACUGCGUCGUAAAUUAAUUUCAUCUCCGUAUGUUUCUCAUUUCAUGUCUACUCAUCUCAUUUCGGCUUAAA